rnacentral:rRNA from 1 species
GACGAACGCUGGCGGCGUGCUUAACACAUGCAAGUCGAACGGAAAGGCCUGCUUUCCCUUGUGGAUUGCGGGUACUCGAGUGGCGAACGGGUGAGUAACACGUGAGUGAUCUGCCCCCAACUUGGGUAUAAGCCUGGGAAACUGGGUCUAAUUCCCGAUAGGACUGCAGGGUGGUGCCUGUGGUGGAAAACGAUUUUCUAGUGGUUGGGGAUGAGCUCGCGGCCUAUCAGCUUGUUGGUGGGGUAAUGGCCUACCAAGGCGGCGACGGGUAGCCGGCCUGUGAGGGUGGACGGCCACAUUGGGACUGAGAUACGGCCCAGACGACUACGGGAGGCAGGAGUGGGGAAUAUUGCACAAUGGGCGGAAGCCUGAUGCAGCGACGCCGCGUGGGGGAUGACGGCCUUCGGGUUGUAAACUCCUUUCGACCGCGAGGAAGCCACCUGGUUGGAAGGGUGGUGACGGUAGUGGUAGAAGAAGCACCGGCUAACUACGUG